rnacentral:lncRNA from 1 species
CCAGUCCAGAGGUGACUGCUUUUCUAACUGGAGUAACGGAAGGCAAAUUUAGGGAUUUUUCUCACUCCCAAAGAGGGCUGAUCUCGCAGAUGAUUAAGUGUCUGCCUCCAUUCCCCGAAGCCCACUCCGGUAAAAGCGAAGACCACCCCUAACAAAGCAUUUUCAAGAAGAGGAGUUUGAAAACAUCAUUUUGCCAAAAAGAAUGAGCACCACCCAGGGGUUAGGGAGCUGGCUUGGGGACCAGGCAGGAAGUCAGAGAUUAACUCACAGUUGACUGGAUGUUCUUUUAAAUCACUCUCUUGGCCUUUCGUUUACACACUGGUAAAAUGGAAACUCCAUUAGCAGAGACUAUGGAAAGUGUCUGAAGAAAACUGAAACAACAGUCAAUGAAAUCUUUUGAAUUCUUACAGUGAAUAAAAUGAUGAAUAUAAAAAUGGGUAUGUUAUUAUUGUUAUAGUUACAGGAACUAUUUAGCAAGUAUGAUACUCCAUGAGUAUAAUGAAAAUGUCUUGAUCAGGGCUUGUCUGAAGUUAGCUUUACACAUGCUUAUUUUUUAAGGGAUUGGGGUGUUUAGAGCAUUGUAAUGUUACCAAGAAGUGAAGCAUUUGCUUGUAAGCACUGGAUGAAAUGAAAAUAUUCAGAAGGGAAUUGGGCCAUGGAAUUAUUUUGUGUAUCCCUCUCCAAUAGGCUUCUGAGGAAAAGAGUCAGGCUCAGCCACUCGGCCAUAAAGGCUUCAUUCUUUAUAUUGUGGCAGGGCUGGGAUGGGCUGAGAGAUACUAUAUUUCACUGCACUGACUUUAAUAGGAUAAGAUGUUAGCUAAUAUGAUAACAGCAUGAGAUGAGAUUCAGGUGAUCUCAGGGGCUUGUUGGGGAAAAUGAAAUCAGUCACUGAAGUGACAGUCUAAUUACAUAAGAAUGGGAUCAGCUGAAGGGGUGCAUUACCUUCCCUAAAGCAGUGGACUUUGAAAUUCCACCCUGUUGUCUUUUCAAUGUCUAAAGGUUUUUCUAAAAUUAAAUGUACUAUGUUAUGCCUCUUACUAAACUCAGCUCUUCUAUUUGGCACAGGUGAAGGGGACAGAAAUAGAUUUCACACCUGGAAGGAAAAGACAGGUAAAGUUAUUUAGAAUCAGGCAAUUAGGGGUGAUAUUAACUAUUCAAACCACAGAUGAAUAUGGUAAUAUCCAAUCUGAAAGAUCUGGGUUUGAAUCCCAACUCAGCUAGAUUCUGGCUGUGUAAACCUUAAGUUUUUCACCUCUCUGAACCUAGGUUUCCUCAUUUUGUGUAGAGUUCAAAUGUUAAAAGACUUAAGGGCUAUCAGCCACGUAACAGCUGACACCUGUUUAUUCAGGAAUACACUAUUUCUGGAAGUCUCACAUGCACUCAGAAAACAGCUGCAGCUGCAAACUGCCCUGUCCUCCACAUCUGCCUGCUGCUGAGCGUCUUGGAGAUGCCUUAGAGCCAUUGCUACCUACGAUGAGAAGACAACGGCAAUGCCAAGUGUGAUGACCAGCCCCCAAGAUGACUCAAAGUUUUGGGGUAAUUUGUUAUUGUUUGGGCUCAGAAAAUGAUACCCCAAAAUGAAGGCUUCAGAAGCAUAAGUUUCUCUCUGACUUUCUCCCACUUUCCUGUCUCUAGCCCCUCAUUCUCCCCUGAGGCUAGCCAAAGAAACUAGAAUUCCUCUUUUUUUUUUUUUGAGAGGGAGCUUCGCUCUUGUUGCCCAGGCUGGAGUGCUGUGGCGUGAUCGCCGGCUCACCGCAAGCUCCGCCUCCCAGGUUCAAGCCAUUCUCCUGCCUCAGCCUCCCGAGUAGCUGGGAUUACAGGCAUGUGCCACCACACCCGGCUACUUUUGUAAGGUCAUAAGACCCCGAUUCCAGAGAAAGUCCUGCCCUGUACCUAGAAGGAAGGAAUGUUGCACAGAAAGGCCAAGAGGAAUCUAGACAGGCAGACCCUGCUGUCUCCCCACUCAGUCUGUUAUUGUUAUCAGAAAGGGGCCCCAAUCUAGACCCCAAAAGAGGGUUCUUGGAUCUCGCCCAAGAAGGAAUUCAGGCAAAAUGUGAAAAGAAAGAGAUCAUCUAAAGGAAGGACUUAAAAAAAAAUCCGGAACUUGCAAGUUUUGAAAAUUCCCAGCUUCCCCAGAUGGCAAAUGAUGCUACUGUGAAAAAAUGGCUUCCAGGCAAGGAAAAACUCCAGGACAUUCCCAGCAAAACAUCAUCAAAUGAUGAAGAAUGGUGCUUCAAUUCAUGUUUCAAAAGCAGACACAGAAAUAAUUUCCAGAGAAAUGAGCUGGGGGAAAACAGAAAUGUGUAUGGAAU